UACAGAGGUCCCAAGCGUUGUUCGGAUUCACUGGGCGUAAAGGGUGCGCAGGUGGUUUGGCAAGUUUGACGUGAAAGCCCCGGGCUUAACCCGGGAAUGGCGUUGAAAACUGCUUGAACUGGAGGGUUGGAGGGGGGACUGGAAUUCUUGGUGUAGCAGUGAAAUGCGUAGAUAUCAAGAGGAACACCAGUGGCGAAGGCGAGUCCCUGGACAAUACCUGACACUGAGGCACGAAAGCCAAGGGAGCAAACAGG
rnacentral:rRNA from 1 species